rnacentral:rRNA from 1 species
AUGGGUGGAGGAGGCUGGUGCGGCAGAGGUGUUGGACAACAAGGGGAAGCUCUGGCUGACCACCGGCAUAGCACGGGCGGCAAGCUCUACUACAAUGUGGAGGAGAUCGGGUUCUUGGCAAAAAGAGGGGCAUUGGUUCUUCUUGAUGACAAGGAUGAAACAGUUGGAAUGGAGGAUAUCUAUGGAAAGAUUGCAACAGGAAGUUAUGGGUGCUCCUGGGAUGCCUUCCAAGCUUACAGGCACUUGAAGUUGCUUGGCUACAUUGUUGGACGGUAUGACAUUCCCUGGACAAUGAAGCAAUUCCGUUCUGGUGAUGUCACCAAUUCCCCCGUGAGUAUGGAUGGCACAAGCCAGAGCUUUGGUAAAGCCAAUGGUGCCUGCAAUGACAUUACCAAAUUGCUCGAAGGAAUGCGCAUAGAAGGGAUGUAUCCAUCCUUUAAAGUGCAUCUACCAAAUAGCAAAUUUAAGAAGUCGUCCCAGGAGUCCCUAGUUUUCUUGUAUGUCUGUUAA